AUCAACAGCCUUUUCCAAAAGAAAACCAAGCAUUUAAGGAUGGAGAGCAGGGCCGACAGGUGCCACAUGUUGGAGUAUGCCCAGGGUGAUUAAAACCUUGGCCUCCAAACAAAAAAUGCACUAGUGAAGAUUCAGCGUGUUCCAGAGAAGCCAUGCCAGUUCCACUUAACUUUAAAACAGAAAUUUGUUCAAAUCUACAUGGUGCUUCCUUGCUAAAUACUGUACAGAUUUCACCAUGGCUUUUUUCUUUUUAGUUUUUACCUUUCCUUAAUUACCCUUAUUCCAAAAGAAUGAUCACUCUUUAGAACUGCUGACUAUUGUAAGAUAUGUAUAUAAAUCACAUUAAAAAUAAUACCCUGGAAUAGAACAUUUCAAAUGCUGCUCAACUAUAGACUCAAUUGUAUUUUAUGUACUGUUCCUCCAAGUUAGACAUCUGGUGCAAGACCAACCGGGAAACCAUGGAAUUAUUAAAAGUAUAAAUUGAGAGUGCGUGUAUUUAAAGACUUAUUUAAAAAUUGACAAGCGGUCAACUAGGUUUUGAGGGCACUGUUUCCUGUAAUGCCUUAUCCUAGAGAUUAAUUUGUUUCAUAUUUUGGUUGUGUUCAAAAUUUAAAUCAUGUACUUUAAGACAAGUUCUGUCUUUUAACUUGGUGGAACUAUUCCAAUCAAUUUACCAGUUAUGAUAAGUAUUCACAUUAUGAAUGUACAAUACAAACAUUUGUAAAUUUUACAGUAUAUUUUUAUUACAUAACUUCUUUUAGACUGUGUCUUGGUCACCGGUAGGAUACUGGAGUCUGAGUUAUCAGCCUGGGUCCCUUAAAGUUCCUAGUUACAGACAAAAUCACACUAAUUUUAUUUUUAAUAUGGAUAUGCUAUCAAGUUGUGUGUGAUACACAUAUAAUUCACUGGUCCUGCCUCAGGAGACGGAGUGGGGAAAACUGUAUUUAAUAGUUUCCAUCUGAAUAAUCUGUAUGGUUUAGACAGUUUGUGUUGUUCAAAGAUGUCUAAAGUUAAUGUUUUAUUUUUAAAGAUUACAAAUGUUAUAUAAUAAAAAUAUACUGUAAAAUUUACAAAUGUUUGCACUGUACAUUCAUAAUGUGAAUACUUAUCAUAACUGGUAAACUGAGUGGAAUAGUUCUACCAAGUAAAAAAACAACUUGUCUUAAAAUGCAUUAUUGAAAUUUGGAACACAACUAAAAUAUGAAACAAAUUAAUUAGACAGUUUGUGUUGUUCCCAGAUGUCUAAAGUUAGAUCUUUUGUUUUUGAAGAUUAAAAAAACAUGUAAUAUCUAUAUGUGUAUAAAUGGCCGCAAAAAAUAAAUAAAUGGCAGCAAAUUAAACAUUUUGUGUCAUUUUUUUAUUUCUCUUUUUCCUAUUUGCUUCCAGCCAUGUUGGACUUUGUGUUCACUUUCCUGCAAACCUACAAAGUUCUGGCUACCAUCUCACUAGGUGCCUCAGACCUCGGACAUGGGUCAGGGAAAACCAGGCGGCAGUUUGCUGUACCCAACAUAUCUCCGCUUUAAAGCAGCAAGUCUUAGACCUUGUUUUACCAACACACGUGAUUCACUUUUAGUGAAGACUGUAUUUGCAAGCUUUAACAGCCACACACCCUUCAGUUGUACUGUUCACUUUGCAACAAAAUAUCAGUAGAUAUUUCGAUAGCAAUAGAAUAUUCAUGCAAGUUAUAGGGGGUAUACACUGAAUAACAAAACUCUCCACAAAUCAAUUUAUGUACAUUAUUUACAUAUUAACUAUGUCUUAGGUAAUAGAAAUGCUUCCUGAGGAAAAAAAUAAAAUGAGAGCUCAGUGAUUUCUGGUCUGUAAUAGACCUAACUUCUCAGCACAGCACUUCUGUGUGGAUAUGUGCAUUUGUAACCAUGAAAAUAGGCAUUGCUUUAUCUGAUAUAUUAAAUGCUGCUUCAUCUAUGAACAGCUCUUACUUUGAGUCCAUUUGGGGCCACAUCAAACUACUUGAAAGUCCUUCAGGACCCCAGAGGUGUGGAGGCUUGUGUGGGUUUAGGGUAACUCCAAAUAAAACUCAGAUGAUAACGGGCCUAGCAAGACAGCUGGGGGUGCUGUGGAGCUGCCACCUCCCCUCAAGGAUCCUCCUCGGAACUGCCUGCCACCCUUUGUCUCUGGAGGAAACUUUGUCUUUGGCCAGAGUUGGGACUGACAACUCAAGACUGAGUGCAGACCCUUGGAUGGGGAGGUGACGAGCGUAACUGAGCCUCGCUGCCCCUGCAGCAGGAUGGGCUCCACGUCUGCAGUGUUGGGUGGAGGCCAGGUACAUAGCAUGAUGGCAGGUGCCCUGAGGGUUAAAACCUCACAAGAAAACCAGGGAUUAGAUGACUUCAUGUAAUACUCUUCACAGGGCAAGUCACUUAAGAUUAGGCGCUCCAGGGCCUUCUGCAUGAUCUUGGGUGAAUGGCCAUCGCCCAGAGCUGGCUCACAGGUGACCGCGGUGAUAAAGGUUCACCACCACAUGACUCCACGCUCCCUUCUCUCAACACCGUACAAAGGAAGCUGCACAUCUCCAGGGUCGCA